GGUCGCGUGGCCCAAUGGCAAGGCGUCUGACUACGACCUUCGAGUCCGGGCUCAGCUCGGGGACGCGAGUAAUCAGGAGAUUGCGGGUUCGAUCCCCGUCGUGACCU
rfam:Trichosporon asahii var. asahii CBS 8904 unplaced genomic scaffold scaffold00066, whole genome shotgun sequence.